AGCAGCCGCGGUAAUUCCAGCUCCAAUAGCGUAUAUUAAAGUUGUUGCAGUUAAAAAGCUCGUAGUUGAAUUUCGGGAUCAAUAUGUUGGUCGUGCCUCGGUACGUACUAGCUUAUUGGUUUCUCCUUUCUGAAGAACCAUGAUGUCAUUUAUUUGGUGUCGUGGGGAAUCAGGACUGUUACUUUGAAAAAUUAGAGUGUUUAAAGCAGGCUCACGCUUGAAUACAUUAGCAUGGAAUAAUGAAAUAGGACGUUUGAUUCUAUUUUGUUGGUUUCUAGGAUCGACGUAAUGAUUAAUAGGGAUAGUUGGGGGCAUUAGUAUUCAAUUGUCAGAGGUGAAAUUCUUGGAUUUAUUGAAGACUAACUACUGCGAAAGCAUUUGCCAAGGAUGUUUUCAUUAAUCAAGAACGAAAGUUAGGGGAUCGAAGACGAUCAGAUACCGUCGUAGUCUUAACCAUAAACUAUGCCGACUAGGGAUCGGAUAGAUUGUUAAUUUUUUAAUGUACUCUAUUCCGGCGUCC
rnacentral:misc_RNA from 1 species